AAGCGUGCACCCGACAUCCGACGGCCUCCGUUUUAUAAAAUGAGUUCAAAUCGCAAUAACCCCUCAGCGCGAAAAGAGCCCGUUUCCAUUACGCGUAUCAUAUUAUUUACAAGCGGCCGGUCCAGUUUAAGAGCCAGAUGGCUACCCCGCCCACAUGGUAAUGCUAUAUUUCCCUAGCCGCCGCGGCGCGUCGGUUUCCGCGCUGCUCCCGCAGCACUGAGAACAUUGUUUUGCCGUUCCCUCCAGGAGACGCUGUGAGAGCUCAGUUUCAUAUCAGGAAAAAUGAGCUGCGAAUUCCGUUUUGUUUUUGUUUCAUCUUUAUUUAAAGGAAACGUGCCAGCAAAGGUCAUUGAAUAAGUGUGCGUCUGUGCCCGCCCGAGCUGAAACUUCAUUUGGAGGAUCCUGUAAGAAAGCAGUGUCACGGGUCAGGACUGCAGUUUUUCAUACGUGACUGAUGGGCUGGGCUCUACAGACCAACGGGCUGCCUCUACAGACCAACGAGCUGAGCUCUACAGACCAACAGGCCUGGCUCUACAGGCCAACUGCUCAACCUCUACAGACCGAUGGGUUGAGCUCUACAGACCAACAGCUCAACCUCUACAGACCGAUGGGUUGAGCUCUACAGACCAACAGGCUGAGCUCUACAGACCAACAGGCUGGGCUCUACAGACCAACAGGCUGGGCUCUACAGACCGACGGGCUGGGCUCUACAGACCAACAGGCUGGGCUCUACAGACCAACAGGCUGGGCUCUACAGGCUGAUGGGCCGACACCCCAACACACACACACACACCUACACCCCAACACACACACACACACACACACCUACACCCCAACACACACACACACCUACACCCCAACACACACACACACACACACACACACACACACAACUACACCCCAACGCACACACACACACACACCUACACCCCAACGCACACACACACACACACACCUACACCCCAACACACACACACACACACCUACACCCCAACACACACACACACACACACCUACACCCCAACACACACACACACACACACA